UACAGAGGGUGCGAGCGUUGUUCGGAAUUAUUGGGCGUAAAGGGCGCGUAGGCGGUGCGGUAAGUCACCUGUGAAAUCUCCUGGCUCAACUGGGAGCUUGCAGGCGAAACUGGCGAACUGGAGUGUGGCAGAGGGGGGUGGAAUUCCGCGUGUAGCAGUGAAAUGCGUAGAGAUGCGGAGGAACACCGAUGGCGAAGGCAGCCCCCUGGGCUAACACUGACGCUCAGGCACGAAAGCGUGGGGAGCAAACAGG
rnacentral:rRNA from 1 species